rnacentral:rRNA from 1 species
CGUCAGCGACUGCGGAGGGACAUUACAAGUGACCCCGGUCUAACCACCGGGAUGUUCAUAACCCUUUGUUGUCCGACUCUGUUGCCUCCGGGGCGACCCUGCCUUCGGGCGGGGGCUCCGGGUGGACACUUCAAACUCUUGCGUAACUUUGCAGUCUGAGUAAACUUAAUUAAUAAAUUAAAACUUUUAACAACGGAUCUCUUGGUUCUGGCAUCGAUGAAGAACGCAGCGAAAUGCGAUAAGUAAUGUGAAUUGCAGAAUUCAGUGAAUCAUCGAAUCUUUGAACGCACAUUGCGCCCCCUGGUAUUCCGGGGGGCAUGCCUGUUCGAGCGUCAUUUCACCACUCAAGCCUCGCUUGGUAUUGGGCAUCGCGGUCCGCCGCGUGCCUCAAAUCGACCGGCUGGGUCUUCUGUCCCCUAAGCGUUGUGGAAACUAUUCGCUAAAGGGUGUUCGGGAGGCUACGCCGUAAAACAACCCCAUUUCUAAGGUUGACCUCGGAUCAGGUAGGGAUACCCGCUGAACUUAAGCAUAUCAAAACCGGGAAGGAAA